UUGAGGUGGUGGAGAUAAGACCUUACUUGUCUCCCAUACUGAUUAGGGAGAAUAAUGGAGAAUGAAGGAAGCUGGGAACACCACAGCCUAGGAACAACCAUCAUUGAAACCUCUUCUUUUUGGUCCAAAGAUCUUCCCAUUUGAGACUAAACAUCUCCAGUCUGAUCCUUGCACGUUUCCACUGCCUGUGAAACUCUUCCUGGGGCUCUCCUGGCAGCUAUUAAAUCUGCUGGGGCUGAACCAGGGACCAAACAGCAACUCAACCCACACCCCAAAGUUUCUCAAGGUAUUCAAGUGAGGGCUGGAAUCUACUUGCUUUGCUGAAGAUGGUUGUAAAGGAGUUCCUGCUCAUCUACAGGAAGACCCAGAUGACUUUCUUAUUAACCAAGAUUUUACUGGGUAUCAUAUUCAGCAUGCCAACCAAGGAUCCUAUUCCCAUAUUUCCAGGAAAGAUAAGAUAACUGUAGCUGAAGAGCAAGUAGAAGAGACCUGAUGUUAAGAGGGAGCAGCAAAGGUAUCCAGAGGGAAGCAGCUGAGACACACGCCUGCCAAAGAGCACCACGAAAUAGUGCCUGUCCAGGAGUAGAUCCAGCACACAAUAGAACAAUGACAUCAGGAAAAGACAUCAGCAACUUUGCAGCACCAGAGGCAUGAAUAGCCCCUUUGCAUAUUUCUUCUGGCUGCUCCCUAUGUAUGGAUGCUCUACAUGUGAUCCUAUUCAAGUUAACUUUUCCCACUGAGUAUGUGUAUAUUUGUGGGAGAAUGAGCUCAAGGUUUAU